AUUGAACGCUGGCGGCAGGCCUAACACAUGCGAGUCGAGCGCAUGAAGGGAGCUUGCUCCUGGAUUCAGCGGCGGACGGGUGAGUAAUGCCUAGGAAUCUGCCUGGUAGUGGGGGAUAACGUCCGGAAACGGGCGCUAAUACCGCAUACGUCCUGAGGGAGAAAGUGGGGGAUCUUCGGACCUCACGCUAUCAGAUGAGCCUAGGUCGGAUUAGCUAGUUGGUGGGGUAAAGGCCUACCAAGGCGACGAUCCGUAACUGGUCUGAGAGGAUGAUCAGUCACACUGGAACUGAGACACGGUCCAGACUCCUACGGGAGGCAGCAGUGGGGAAUAUUGGACAAUGGGCGAAAGCCUGAUCCAGCCAUGCCGCGUGUGUGAAGAAGGUCUUCGGGUUGUAAAGCACUUUAAGUUGGGAGGAAGGGCAGUAAGUUAAUACCUUGCUGUUUUGACGUUACCAACAGAAUAAGCACCGGCUAACUUCGU
rnacentral:rRNA from 1 species